rnacentral:rRNA from 1 species
AUUGAACGCUGGCGGCAGGCCUAACACAUGCAAGUCGAGCGGAGCGGGGGACGGGGGAGUAAUGGCUAGGAAUCUGCCUGGUCGUGGGGGAUAACGUCCGGAAACGGGCGCUAAUACCGCAUACUAUCAGAUGAGCCUAGGUCGGAUUAGCUAGUUGGUGGGGUAAAGGCAUACCAAGGCGACGAGCCGUAACUGGUCUGGGAGGAUGAUCAGUCACACUGGAACUGAGACACGGUCCAGACUCCUACGGGAGGCAGCAGUGGGGAAUAUUGGACAAUGGGCGAAAGCCUGAUCCAGCCAUGCCGCGUGUAUGAAGAAGGUCUUCGGAUUGUAAAGCACUUUAAGUUGGGAGGCGUUACCCGCAGAAUAAGCACCGGCUAACUUCGUGCCAGCAGCCGCGGUAAUUC